rnacentral:rRNA from 1 species
ACAGGUGCUGCAUGGCUGUCGUCAGCUCGUGUCGUGAGAUGUUGGUUAAGUCCCGCAACGAGCGCAACCCUUAUCCCUAGUUGCCAUCAGGUAAAGCUGGGAACUCUGGGGAGACUGCCGGUGAUAAACCGGAGGAAGGCGGGGAUGACGUCAAGUCCUCAUGGCCCUUACAUCCCGGGCUACACACGUGCUACAAUGGCAGGUACAGAGGGCUGCGAAGCCGCGAGGUGGAGCGAAUCCCAGAAAACCUGUCUCAGUCCGGAUUGAAGUCUGCAACUCGACUUCAUGAAGGCGGAAUCGCUAGUAGCCGCGAAUCAGCAGGUCGCGGUGAAUACGUUCCCGGGCCUU